AAAAAGUGGUAUUUUUAUAUGUUUCAUUUAUAAUGAAACAAUUAGAAUCAAAGGUGAUACUAUAAAACAAGUAAAGAUAUAGGUACAUUUAGAAUUAGGGGGAAAAGCUCCAGUUUUCCCACUGCAUUCCAGAGGUAAUGGAAACUUGAUUUCCCGUUUUAUCGCUGAUAAAGACUUUCUGAAUAGAAUUAUGUGAGCAACAUAAUCUCUUAACAUUUCAUUGGCAAGAAAAGCAGUGAGGAUUAAUCAGCUGCUAUUUGGUAGGGCUAGGAGGCUGAAAGAGCAGGGCCACAUUUGUGUUUGGAUAAAACCUUAAUAUGUCCUAAUUUGUUUAUGACAGCAACAGGCCUAAAGAUGUCUUUUGAAUUUUGUUUACAGAAAGUAUAUUCUGAGCUCAGCCUGGGAGACUGCAAAAUAAUCAGACGUUUAUGAAAAGUUUUUGAGAACCAGAGCUGAAUUCUGGUCAGUUCUCCCCUGUGGACCAUGAAGCCAUUGUGCCAAGGUGGAUGACCUCAGCAAAUAUCUGUAUCUCAGCAUCAGUUCUGCACUAGACUUCUGCAUCAAUGUGCCCUUGAAGCACAAAGCCUUCAUGUUUCAGUUCUGUUUUCCAAGCACCAGAACAAUCUUCUAAUUGAGUAUAGCCAUCAACUGGUGAAUAGACAUCCAUUUGCCAGUGGAACACACCAGCUGGACCUCACUAUAGAGAGCAAACAGGUAAUCUGUGUAUUGCAAUGACAGGGCUGAGAGGAAGAGGAAGAUUGGAGGAAGAUGGUUGCUUUUAUGACAGGUGAGAAAACCAGCCUGGCUUAAGGCAAUCUUUUGCUUUGCUUCUUUAUGUGAUCAAAAUAAGAUUUAAAAAAUGGAAACAGCUAGUGCCUGUUUUGUAUUAGUAUGACAGGUUUAAGAUGUAAGGAGUACAAGACUUUGGCUAAAAACUGACUAGCUGAUUAAAUUUGAUAGCCUUGUAAUAGAGUUUUAUAAGACUUUGCAGACGUGUAUGGUAUAGAAAUGUGACUGAAUGCUGAAUAGGCUUUUUGUCCUCACCUUUUUUUUUUAAUACCAGUACUCCAAACCAGGCUCUGAAGUAUAUUCCUUAACUAUUUAAUUUAUGCAGAGGGAAAAGCCCUUGAGAAAU
rnacentral:lncRNA from 1 species